rnacentral:pre_miRNA from 14 species
UUUUAAAUUAAUUCCACAUGAAAGACCCCCGGAGUGGGGAGACCCUCACUCAAGUCUCGGGAUGACGCAACCCCCCAAGAACUCACACAAGACC